AAUAAGCGGUUAACAGAAAAGGCACACAAAUUACUACAUUCAUAGAGUAGAAGUGUAUAUGUAAAACACCCACAAGCAUACAAAUAUGAUGAUACAGACACAUUUUUGAGCUAAAAGCUCCUAAAAACAAGACUUCUAGAAAACAAGACACUGUACACUUCCGAAAGUACAAGUAGAUCAGCAACCACCGAGCGCGCGCCCUCUGUUAUUUAACCAGAGAUGUCAAUGGCCUUCACCUCAGGUUUCUUUUCCUCCAUUUUUGGGACAGUCACAGUGAGCACCCCAUUCUCCAUAGUUGCCUUAAUCUCUUCCAUUUUGAUAUUCUCCGGCAACCUAAACCUCCUAAGGAACUUUCCGCUGCUCCUCUCCAUGCUGUGCCAUUUAUCGUUCUUCUCCUCUUGCUCUCUGCUUCUCUCGCCACUAAUUUGUAGAACUCUUCCUUCUUCUACCUCCACCUUCACCUCCUCUUUCUUAAUUCCAGGAAGAUCCACCUUAAAGACAUGGGAUUCUGGGGUCUCUUUCCAAUCAAUUCGAGCACUCGAGAAAGCAGCGGUUUCACGAGUAGAGGUUGGAAUGUUGGCGACCGUGCCGGAGAAAGGGAAGCCCUCGAAAGGAUCCCAUAUGUUGAGGGAGAAUGGAUCGAAGAUGUUGCUCCUGCGGCCAUCAAAGAAGCUUGGAAUCAGAGACAUUUUUUUAUCUGAACGAGGACUUGACUGAUGAUAAUCGGAUGAUGCUUAAGGCUGGAAAUUAUAAGGUACUUGAUUGUUGUAUUCGAAUUGUUUGACGACAACCAAAACGUUGCCCAGUGUUAUUUAUAGGUGGGAGUUUUGGAAGGAAAAAGAAAUGGACCAAGGAACUUAUCGAGUUUCGAGCGCAAUCUAGGAUAUUCUCGAUAUAACUAUUGAUAUUGGAACAAGGAGAUCUCUCUAGACUUCCAGAGCGUUCUAUGUUCUUCCUAUUAAGGGAUUACAAUUUAUAGUUAAUGGAUAUAGGAGGGGGAAUAUAAAAAGGAAAAAUCCAAAUGAGUGAAAGACCAAGAAUGGGCGGAAUAUUGAUAGGGACGAGUGUUCGGGCAAUUCUAAUUAGAUAUAAAAAUUUCGAUUUGAAUUUUUGGUUCUCAAAUGGAAGAAAUGACGAUCCAAAUCCAAUUCAAAUAAACUUGAAUUGGAUCGAAUUUUUUAAAUUUGGAUUCGAAUUAAUCAGUUUGGAUAAUUUGAAUUUUCGAUUUUGAGCUUAUAAGUUGUAAUGUUUCUUGUUUCUACUAUAAUAAAUAUCCAAAUGAGGUAUUCAUAUUAAAUUGCCUAAAAAAUCUUUAUUUCCAUCGCAAUCUUCAAAAUAAAGUAUUCAAAUAAAAUCAACUUCAAGGAAAAAUAACAAAGAUAUUACUAAGGCCGAUAAGAAGUACCAAUAGUAAAAUCAUGUCCAGAUAGAAAGUAUUGUGAUAGUAACUUAGUAAUCAAUAUACGAGAUUGUGUCUCAUGGUUAGGAUAUUGAACUUGUUCCUAUUGACAUAUGAAUAAUGAAUUAAAUAUAAACUAUAAAAUUUUGGAUUUUCGGAUAUCCAAAAAUCUGAAGUACCAAAUCCAAUAUCCUAUCCAAAAUCCAAUUUUUUUAUAAAUUAAAUCCGAAAAUCCAAAAAAUUCAGAUUUCGGGUUUGCCCAAACUAUGCCCACCCCUAAUAUUUGAACCUAAAUUUUUAAAGGAAUUUUUACCUCCUAUAGCAAAGGUUGAUACCUUAUUUAUUUUAAAUAAAUACCCUUUUAAAAAAUUAUAUUCCAUAGCUACCUUUUACUUUUUAUAGGCAAAUAUCUAUUUAAGGUUACCUCCUACCCUUAAGCCAUAAAAUACUUUUUGUAUUAUUUUCUCUCUCAUUCUUUCAGAUUUUUCUCCACCCCCUCUCUCAACGCCAGUCUUUCUCCAUGAAUACAACCACGAUUCUCCACUGAUUCAUCUCCAUUGUCUCGCAAAAUUUUCAUUGUUAGUGGGCUGAGGUUCUGAAUCAAUGUCGAAAUCAAGCCCUAGAGAGAAAGAUGUAAGUUUGAAAUCUGCUAUUGAAAGGUAAAUUGAGGGAAAUCUGAAAGGAAAUCACGAAGAUCCACCCCAUUUUGAUUGUCGUUGCUCAGUAGAAAAUACCUUCCAGAUCUUUUGUAUUGACAUCAAGCUUCAACUCUUCUACCAAGAACUCGCAGAACUCAGUCUGGCCUUCUCUAGCAGCAAAAAUAAUGCCCCUCUUUUGUUAGCAUCCUUCACAUCUGCCACUGUCUCGGCCAAGCCUUUCCCAUUAUUCAGUUGCUUUGCCAAAUCUGUUUCCACAAUCAUCAUUACCAUAUGAACAAAGACGACAGAGUUUGGGGAUGAGCAACUUGAAAAGUCUAUUACCUUUUUUUUCAUUGCAUUUCAAUGUAUCUCGUUGUAUUCUAUAUAUUUCAUUGUAUUCAUUAUCUUUUUUUCAUUGUAUUUCAAUGUAUCUCGCUGUAUUCCAUGUAUUUUAUUGUAUUCACUGUCUCGCUAUAUUCCAUAAAUAUAUUCAUAUAUUUUUUUUAAUUAAUAUAGUUUAUGUAUUCAGAUGUAUAUAUGUAUUCAAAUGUAUCUGCAGUAUGUACUCAUAUGUUUUUGCACUAUAGAUGACCUGCUAUACUUCAUGUAUUCAAUGUAUUUUUAUAUAUUUAACUGUAUUCAAUGUAAUUAUAUAAUUUCUUUGAAGAUUGCUAUAUUUUUGAGGUGUUUUUCGGUUGAGAAUCUUUUUUAUAACUGGAAAUACAAAUUUUGUGUGUUAUAAUUGUGUUUGUUGAGUUAUAUUAGGAGUCUAUUAUGUUAAUUGAUUCACUAUCUGUUUAAAAACAGCUGAAUAGACCAUGAAUUGCGUCAUUUACGUUACUGUAUUUACAAAUACAUAUCGCGAAUAUAGUCGAAUACAAUAAUCUGUCUAGUUGUAAUCCCCUAUUUCACGCCAAGAAAUACUACUGUAUUCAUGAAUACAUUAGCUUAAAUACAUCAAAUACACUAUAAAAAUCCUGAAAACAUAGCUAUAGAAAGUAAUAUAGUAAAUGGUAGCUACAACUAGCUAAUAACCACUAAAUAAUAGUGGUUUGUGAAAAUUUCUCAUUUUUAAAUGAUGGAAAUAGUUCCUAUUUCACAAGAGAAAAAUAAAACAAAUUUGCAAUUUCCCUAAUAACUUUUUGCUUUCUUAAGAGUCUUUUUCUUUUUUUUUUUUCUUUUUUUUUUUUUACAAUUCUAAUACUCGCAAGAGAUAAGGGAAAAAAUUAGAGAGACGGCGAAAAUUGAACACCAAUUGUAUGUCCCCCAAAAAAUGAAGUAACAUAUUAUUAUAUAUAAUAUAUAUUUUAAUUAUUAUUAAUAAAAGAUCAUAACUUUUUGAUAUUUAAAAAGUGAGUAAAUAAAUAAAUUUUCUUUCUCGUUAAAGUAAUACUUACCGUUCUUUUUAAUUCUAAUUUUUCCUCUUCUAUUUAUGUACUCAUUUCAUUUUAAUGAUUUUAUGAAAGAAUUUGAGUGCCUAAUCCACACAAUAUGCACUUGUUUUUACCACUAGACCAAAGUCACAAGGUUUCUUAUGUGUCAUAUUAUUGUAUAAAUUUUACAAUAUAAGUUUAAGGAUUUUUUAAUAAUUUUAAUUUUUAUUGAGCCGAAUAUACAAGACAUUCCCUGUCAAAAUAAAGAUAUUCAAAUAAUCACUACCAAAAUUAAUGAAGUAUGUAACUUAUAAAUUGUAUCAAAUUUGAAAAGCUACUGAUGUAAUUAUUUACCUAGAAAAUUCAAAAUUGCUAUCCAGAAGAGUACAUCCUUUCAGAGUCUUUGGUGGAUACUGUAUGUCGACUUAAAAGAAUUAUACAUUGUUAAGUGAAAACAAUGGGAUAUCAAGUUCAAAUUUCAAUGAAGGCAAAAUACUAGGUGAUUUCUUCCUAUCUAGUAUUUAAGUUUUGGUGGAUAAAAUUUUCUGCCACCUAUUGAUAGUGGUUGGUGGGAGGUAAUAUAUGUCCCAUAGAAUUAAUCGAGAGGCACACAAGCUGGUCCGAACAUAAUCGUACUGAAAAUAAAAAAAAAUGAUAGCGCUAGCAAUUCAUUGGUAAAGCGGACGUCAGAAUUGGGACUAGUGAAGUGCCAAUCCUCCACGUUUGAGUGAGAGUUAUGCAUAAAUCACAAUGCACAACAUGAUAGCAUUAAAAUGUUCAGUUUUUCUGAUUGUGGCUAUAAUCUGGAGUAAAGAAUGUUUGCUAAUUGUCUUGAAUCUUAAUCGUUUGUCUUCGAAGGCUAUAAUCAUAUUAAUUCUUUGGAAAUUGGUAAUAAUAAUACAGCUAAGAUCCCUGGAUGGCGCAAGGAUUUAGUUACCUAAUUAUUCAAGGAAUUUUCAAUAUGCAAAUCAGCUACAAAGAGGAAGGUGCGAACCUUGGCUUGGGUGAUUGUGCAGAUCGCUUAGAGGUUUUAUAAUGCAGACUAGACAGAUUAUGGCCCGCAUAUUAUAAUAGCUGGAAUACUUAUUCUUAUUUUGAUUGUUUAUAUAACAGAGUUAAUUAAUCUUGAUAACUUUUGUACUGAUAUUGGGCAGACAAAUUUGCAGAACGACAAAAGAAGAAACAGAAAGAUGUACAUUGUAAUAAUUCAUAUAUAAAUAAUAUUGCACAGUCAUUGCUUCAGACUAUAUAGCACAUACAUUUAGGAAACGGAAAAAGUUAUCCAAGUUGUACAAAAUUUAACAAAACAUCGAUUCAGUGGGUGUUGUGUGCUCGCAAAAUGACAUAAAGUAAUCUUUUUACAUAUAUACGAUUUAUACAAUGACAAGAUAAGAUGUGUUCCUUGUACUGUAAUUUAAUUUUUUUUAGUCUACAAUAAAACUAUUGGCACAUGAAGAAAUUAUAUGUUAAAACUAUAAUUGGUAAGCAUGUUCUAUGUUACAAGCUCUUCAUGCAAAUUCUCUGCAUCUAACACAAUUCACCCAUAAAUAUUUUGUCCCGCAAAAUGAAUUUCCAACAAAAAUAAUAAUAUAGCCGGUGAUACUUUCUCCUCUCAAAUGUGAAUACUUCACCCACAAGACCAUACAAUCUCAACAUCAUUGUUGUGUCCCUGCCAAAGAAACCUAUGUUAGCUGAUUCCAAAUUUGAUUUUUUAGUAAAAAGAUGUUCAUAUUAAAUAUUGGUAAGUAACACGUGAUAGAAAGACCACACUAUAGCUCUACUGCAAUAGCAAGUAAAAAUAAAACCAUACAAUUAAUAUAAGAAAAUACUAGUUUAUAGAGGCAUAAGUAGGAGAAAAAUGAUAAGAAGUUCCUUAAGUACUGCACUUGGAAUUCUUGUUAAUUAAUCUUUUGCUGCUUGCCUGAAGCUGGUAACCAUGAAAAUUAAUACUACAAUACACAUCUUGAAUUAUUAGCUUAGCAUGAAUAACCUGAUGUAUAACGGAGGUCUAAUAAUGAUUACCCACUUGAGUUGUUCAAAAUUGCUCAAAUAACAUUUCAAUCAAGAAAAAGCAAUCAUCUUAUAUAUUCAAUUUACCUGAUACACUAAUACCAACCAAACUACUUCAGCCAUUUCUCGUUUUCAUUUCCAACUCAAAGAAACCAAAUAAAUAAUUCAGCAUGAUACUUAUUAUAGCAGCAUUUGUUUCUCUUCUUUUAUUAGUAUAUUCAAGAAACAACAUAAACAAAUCCACGACAUGCAAUCAUUUUCUACUACUCAUAUAAUGCUCCAAACAUCUAAAAUUUUACCAAAUUAACGAUCAAUUCAUCGCUCAACUUCUGCGCACCGAAUCUAUUUCAAGAUUUUUUGUUUUUUUGACCUAAGGUAAAUCACCAAUAGCUAUAAGACACUAUCAACCACAUUUGAGCACCCCAUAAUGGUUGAUUUACAAUUUUUUGGGAGUCCUAAAUUGUUUAUCAGCUUUGUAUCGAGGUACUUAGAAUAUCAAUACCCACCUUAAGCAUAAUAGAUAGAACUUAAUAUUGUUGCGUGCUUAGUGUCUUGAUUAAUACAUGUAUAUCAUUUAUGCGGGGGCUAUGUUAUAUCUCUAACAUAUCCCUCAUUUUGAUUCAUUGGUCAGUGCCAUCCAUUCUACUAUUUAGUCUUUUUCCUCAUACAACAAAUCUUACUUGGUCUUUCCUAAAGUUAAGGUCAUUAUUUCACAGCUGGUCAGGUAGUUCAAUAAUGUUAAAAGGCUUAAACAAUUCCAUAAGUUCGUGCAGAAAAUACUAAAAUGGCUACACAUUAGAAAAUUCACAAAAAGGCAACAAUAAAAAUUCAAAUAAGCAAAGUAAGAAGCGGGAAGCAACAUCUAUAUGGAAUGUUUAAUAUUUUAUUUUUUGGGUUUCCACCUUAUUAGUUAUCUUCAGAUUAAGUUAUCAUGUCAUCUUUUAGAAUGUCUCCAAGUUUCAACUUCUUAUCUUAAAAAUAUGCUUCCUCAAGAAUGAGAAAUAAGAUGAGGAAAAAUGACUACAGGAACACGAAAAAAAGUACCUUGUACUGGACAAAAAGAGACCAUAUACCUAAUACAAAAAACAACAGUGGCAACCUUUGCAUCGCAUAGAACGGAAGGUCCCCAACUUCUUCAAAAAAUCCAACAAGCUUCUUCUAGAGUCUGCCUUUCAUCCAACUUUCCUGCAAUUCACAUUCUCUGUCAAUAUUCACCAAAAGCCAACUUUAUUCUCUGGAUAAAAAGAACUCUACAACGAUGCCUUCUCUAAUGUUCUUAUUAAACAGAAAGUGCAUAAACGAUGGGGCAAAAUAAGGGGCAAGGACAGGGAGAAACACAGGAAGAAUGCAGAUAAUGAGAGAAAUCUGGUAGCUAAUGCUGCAUGUAAUAGAGCACCAUAUUGCUACCUCCUAGGCAUGUGGAGGACUAUUCAUAUGUGCAAUGUUUGUACAGAAAAUAGAUUAAUCAAUCGCUAAUUUGACUGUGAGGCAAUGUUACAGCCUCAUCCUCACAUAAAAUGAAACACAAAACAGAAAUCGAUAGACAAUACAAAUAAAUUCUUUGUAUUAGGAGACACAAUCUAAAAAUGCCAAGAUAAUAUAUGUUGUUGCACGACUAUCCGACAUCAAAAGUAUGAGAUGGUACUGAAAAUACAUUCUACCAUUUACGAUAUAUAAUGCAUGGUCCUAAAGUGAAUUUGAAUAUUUAAAAAAUCAAACGCUUAUAACUGAAUCUGAUCUAAAAGAGAAUAAAACCCAAAAGCAUACACGUAGUACCUAAUGCAUCUCUGCCCCUUAUAUGAAGAGCAAUUUGAAGGAGUUUAAAAAUAUAUACUUUGAUGACCACAUCAUUAAGGAAAAAUAGUUCCAAUUCUUUUUCUUGUAGCGCUAAAGCAGAAAACAUACUUUGUUUAUUUAAUACAAAGAGAACAAUAAACCUCAAAAGACAACAUUAAUAGAACAAAAAGAUCACAUAAUUUAAUUACCGUGACAAAAAGUAUAGACUAUACUGAAUCUCAAAACUUGGAGCAGCUUCAACUUUAGUAUAUCUUUCAGCACGAGCCUACGCAGAAAAAAAAAAGCAUCCAAAUACCUCGCAAUAUAGCGUUUGUGAGUAUUGCUCAAUGGGGGAAAUUCAAUCUGAGAGUGAAAUAUAGUAUAAAAUUGACGAAAAAAAUAUUCACAUGUAUGUAAAAAAUCCAAUGUAAACAUCCUGUUAGCAAAAAAUGAAUUGCAGAAAAACCCACCAAAAUAAAGAGCUUACACUUUGAAAGAUGAACGCCAUAGGAAGAAGCUAGAAUUUGAGAUUGAAGAAAGAAACAUACAGAUAUAGGAAUAGAGAAAGAGAAGGCAAAAGAGAGAAAUAGAUAAAAUAUCUAAAAUACUAUCUAUUUGAAAUUAAAUGACAAAUAACAAACCCAGACACGAUGGACGGAAAAACUGUAGAAGAUUUAGAGCCACAAAAAAAAGAGAGGGGUAUGUGGCAAUUCAAUUUGGGGGCAAAAGCCACACAGUUUAUACAUAAAAAUAAAUGGCAAAGUAAAAUAACAUUUAUGCCCGUGACCGACCAACAAGCCUUUUAUGACAUGUCAGUACUUGAUGCUCAAAGGGUUCGUUCAGAAAGAAGUAGCAGAUGAAGUUUAUCCCAAAUUGGGAAACACAGAGUUGUAUUCCAAGUCUAAUUGGAGAUAAGGAAAUGCGAAUUCCUAAAAGAGGAUACGAAGGAUAAGAAAAGGCUAGAAAUGUCUAAUGCUGAUGGAGGAUGAUUGCAUCAAGAACUGAUUAGCAAUGGUGGAUGAUUAACAAAGUACAAUUGAAAGAAGCUUGCAGUGAGGAAGGACACGACUAUUAUCAGAUCAAUAAAAAUUAAAAUUAAAAUUAGCAAUGUAAAAUUACCACUUUGUCCUUGGCCGACCAUCAAGGCUUUUCUAUAUAGUAGAAAAAUCACUAGCUUCAUGUACGAUUUGUAAUGGUGCUUCUGUUUCAGACUCGACAAACUCGAAUUGUAGUUUGCAAUCGAUGCUGCAGCGCAUUUGAUGAUGAUGAUUCAGGCGCAGCCACAAAGCACAACUCACGAAGCAAUCUCAUAUUUGAAUGAUAGACAAAUUAAUUGAUACAACAAUAAAAUAAGAAGUGUUAUUAUAGUAACAUUACAACCAUCUUUCACAAACAAACUUGACACCCGAUCACCAACCAGAUUACAUUAUAAGGAGCAUAGCUCACAGAGACACAGAUUAUACAUUAUGAAUCUAUAACAGAGGAGAGAACUUGCAAUGUGUAAGGAAAGAAAGAUUUAACCAGAUAUCUCAAUGGCUUUGACCUCAGGCUUCUUCACUUCCUCUUUGGGAACUGUAACGGUGAGCACACCAUUUUCCAUACUAGCCUUCACCUGAUCCAUCUUGACAUUCUCCGGCAACCUAAAUCGCCUAAGGAAUUUGCCGCUGCUCCUUUCAACACGGUGCCACUGGUCAUUC
rnacentral:lncRNA from 1 species